ensembl:lncRNA novel transcript, antisense C18orf1
GUAACCUUUCUGCCAACAUUAAGGCCAAGUAGGUGCAAAUUAAGCUUAAAUGACUUCUUUUAUCUGCUGGCUCGUGGGCCAGCCCCGUCCAGUGGCUGAAUGAAAAGGAGGAAGGCCAGUGCUGUCCCAUUUGCAGGCUUCAAUGAGCUCGACAGCCCUGGGAUCUCAGAGAGCAGAGAGCUGAUCUGGUUGCAGGGACUUCAAAGACAACAGGCGCAGGAGCCCACACUGCCUCAGACUGGCCAUGGCCAAGCCCCGGCUGGAUGGCACAAUGCGAGGCCUUCCCUGACGGCCAGGCCCGUCCACCCUCGGUCUGGGGAGGGGGUUGGCUGGGAGGUGGGCAGCGUCUUCCAGUGGUGAAGAUGAAGUCACCCAAACGAAACCCUUCUGCCUACAAUUAAGAGUGCAGUUUCUCUGCACAGAAGGUGGAAAUCGUGUUUUUAUGACCAGAGCUUCCUUCUUCCCAUGACUUCCCCUUAUAAGAUUGUGUCUUCUCUGGGAACAAUUAGAUAUUAAUUAUGCGGUAAAUGCUUUUUAUAGUGCCAAAGAUUCUAUAUAUGCCUGAAAGAA